UGAACUCGAAAUGAUUUCGGAAUCAGAUGUGUCUUUUCUGUCCAGCUGAACACAAUGGGAAAACUUGUUUGGAAGCUGCAAACAUAUUAAGAGAAGCAUUUGCAGCAGAAACAUGUCAACCUGUAUUUUUUUAUUAAUGUCCUUGAAGACGUCGCCGCAACGUGAUUCCUGCAGAAACCUCAUGGACAGGUUUUACUCACGGGAUCCUGGGACACGAGCACCGACUGGCAGAUGAGCGGGGCGCUCAUUUCAAAAUGUU